GAGUGUUUGAAGGAGAAGGAAUGGCGACUCCAGCGAGAUACUAACUUCAGAGGACCUACAUUCACAGGAAAUUAGAACUCUUAAUCUGAAACUUUUGUGCAACAGAUCAUUCCAUAAUUGUACACCUUGUUGUGCAGUCACUUUAUUUGGUUGCAUGUAUACAAAAUAUCAAACAGUAUAAAAAUGUGUCACAUGUGUAUACAGAUGUCUCAGCCAUUCCUAAAUGAAUUGAAGAACUCUACUUUUUAAAGAAAGUGAAUGAGUGUUGUCCAUUUCUAGGAUAUGCAUAUUAAACAUAUAGAGUUUUAAUUAAAGAGGAAAUCCUAAUUUCCAUAAGUGGAUACAUGAUUAGUUUAGUGGAAACAAAACAUGCAUAUACUUGCUGCCAUGGUUGGUUUUGUUAUAUACUAUGAGAUUAUAAAAUAAAAUAAAAAAUAAAAAAGAGCAUGCAUCACAAGAAACAACAAAAAUAUUUCUAUUUUCUUAUAUAUUUUUCCGUCUUAUUUUUCAAUAUAUUUAUUUAAUAAAUGGUUGCUCAUUUAGUUAUUGAUCCAAAGAACAAUGAUAAUGAAACCUUUCAUUUUUCAUCAGUACCGGUAUACAUUAAAAUGGGAGGAAUUACAUGAAGAGAAAAUGUUUUAAGAGAAUAAAUUCUAAAAAAUUCAUAUGAAUUUUCUCUUUUCAUGAUAAAUAAAUGGAUAGCAACCAAAUCUUCCUUGUUAUGACUUAUGAGUAAUGAUUAAUUAGGAGCAUAGAAAUAGAUCUCUUAUAACAAUUCCACGGUGCAGCAGCUGCGAAGACAGGUCAGGACUUUUUGUAAAGGACUCUUGGCUUUCUUCUUCUCCUUGUCCUCAUCCUUCAUGUUCUUUGGUGUGAUGAAACAAAAACAUGAGCAACAUGGGGACACCAACCAGAACUUCAUUUCUUUCACAACCUGCUCUUCUGUGUGUCUAAUAUGUUUUUUUUAUAUAGAUAUGUUCUUAUUGUGGCGCCUAAUUG
rnacentral:lncRNA from 1 species